ensembl:rRNA 5S_rRNA 5S ribosomal RNA
GACUUUAAAAUUACUUUCAAAUGAAUGUGCCUGAUCUCGGCUGAUCUUGGAAGCUACACAGGGUUGGUCCUGGUUAGUACUUGGAUGGGGGACCACUUAGUAAUACCAGGUGCUGUAGGCA